GUCUUUUAGGUAAAAUUUAAAGUCCGGUCUGCUCACUGAAUUUUUAAAGAGCCGCAGUAUACUGACUGUGCAAAGGUAGCAUAAUCAAUAGCUUUUUAAUUGGAAGCUUGUAUGAAAGAUUAGACAAAAGAUUUAUUUUCUUUAUAUUAAUAAAUUUAAUUUUAAUUUUAAGUGAAAAUGCUUAAUUGUUAUUAAGGGACGAGAAGACCCUAUAGAUUUUUAUUGUUUAAAUAAAUUUUAUAUUUUAAUUUAAUAAGACAAUUUAAUUGGGGCGAUUUUUUAAUAUACAAAACUUAAUUUUAUAAAACCAUAAAUUAUUGAAUUUUUGGAUCUAAAAUUUUUAAAUAAAGAUUAAAUUACCUUAGGGAUAACAGCGUAAUUUUAUUUAAGAGUUCAUAUCUAUAAUAAAGUUUGCGACCUCGAUGUUGAAUUAAGAUAAUGUAUUGGAGUAGAAAUUAAUAUAAUUAGUCUGUUCGACUAUUAAAUUCU
rnacentral:rRNA from 1 species